rnacentral:tRNA from 1 species
GAAGGUAGAGCUCAGUGGUAGAGUGCAUGCUUAGCAUGCACGAGGUUCUGGAUUCAAUCCCCAGUACUGCCA